UGAGGAAUAUUUCACAAUGGGCGCAAGCCUGAUGCAGCAACGCCGCGUGCGGGACGACGGCCUUCGGGUUGUAAACCGCUUUUCUGAGGGACGAGCGAGGACGGUACCUUAGGAAUAAGUCUCGGCUAACUACGUGCCAGCAGCCGCGGUAAAACGUAGGAGGCGAGCGUUAUCCGGAUUUACUGGGCGUAAAGAGCGCGCAGGUGGCCGUGUAAGUUGGACGUGAAAGCUCCUGGGUUAACUGGGAGGGGUCGUUCGAUACGGCGGGGCUUGAGGUUGGGAGAGGGGUGUGGAAGUCCCGGGGGAGUGGUGGAAUGCGUAGAUAGCGGGAGGAACACCGGAGGCGAAGGCGGCAGACUGGCGCACACCUGACACUGAGGUGCGAAAGCGUGGGGAGUAAACAG
rnacentral:rRNA from 1 species